rnacentral:lncRNA from 1 species
UUAUCAAGGGGAAAUCUCUUAACUCACAUUAAAGUUAUGCAUUGAGGGAGACAUCCUUUCUCGCCUAAUUUCUCAUGAGGAAACCUACAGGAAAUGAAAUCACCCCUCAUGCACCAGAAAGGAUUACACAAACCUAAGGAAUAGGACAACUCUUCCUAUAGUAGUGAUCGUUCCCUAUACCUUGUUGGGCCAUACACAUUGUUCAACCACCAAUAACCUUUCCUUCUCACAUCGAGGAUCACCAGUGAGCAAUACUUCUACUAUAUCUAUCUUGAUGAGAACUCUUGAUAUCCCAGAUUGUUAAAAUACCCCAAAAAGCCCCAAUGGACCUUUAUCGUUAACACCUAACGGGAGACCUAAAUAUUUCAUCGGUAGGUCCACACUCCUGCAUCCCAAAAUCCUAUCCAACCUAUUAGCAUCCCUCCCAUCACCCAACCUCAAUAGCUCAGACUCGGCUAUGUUAAUAUUGAGACUAGAAACUGUAUCGAAGCUCAACAAAAUGCAUCUAAAGCGAAAAAGAGUUCUCAUCCAGUUCACAGAACAGCAAAUUAUCAUCAGCAAAAAUAACCUCUUUUGUAUAUUCACCAUUGCCCAUAUUUAAACUCUUAAACAUCUCAAGCUCUCACAG